AUGGCCUCUGACUUGGAGCAAGCUUCUGGCAAGCAGCGAAGGAAAUCGAGGAGAAAAACCUUAGAGUUAGUAAAUGCAGGUCAACUCAACAUUGAUAAAGACCUGAUGGGUAGUAUACACAUAGUGGAAGGGCAACCUCCACAACCCAGCUCCAGUGUGCACAAACUAACUGGGACAUCGGAACACCCAGACUCAAUCGUAUUGGGAAAUCACGAAGAGUCACUAGGGGUGCAGGAUAUUUCCAUCAACUAUGUUGAUUCUGGAGAAUCAUUUGACCGUAAGACUAUGACUGUCGACAUAUAUUUUGCUGAAAAGAUUGCAGAUAUCCUUCUCACUGAUCAUGAUCCAAGGUAUAUCGUAGAGUGCCAAAAGCGCUCCGACUGGCCUAAAUGGAAGGAUGCAAUCCAAGUAGAAAUUGCCUCGCUUAACAAAAGAAAGGUAUUCGCUGAAGCAAUCCCGACACCUCCCAGUGUUUUCCCUGUGGGAUUCAAAUGGGGUUUUCUCCGGAAACCGAAUGAGAACAAUGAGGUGGUGAGAUAUAAAGCAAGGCUUGUAGCACAAGGUUUCACGCAGAAACCUGGCAUUGAUUUCACUUAA
rnacentral:rRNA from 1 species